CCUACGGGAGGCAGCAGUGGGGAAUAUUGCACAAUGGGCGCAAGCCUGAUGCAGCCAUGCCGCGUGUGUGAAGAAGGCCUUCGGGUUGUAAAGCACUUUCAGCGGGGAGGAAGGCGGUGAGGUUAAUAACCUCAUCGAUUGACGUUACCCGCAGAAGAAGCACCGGCUAACUCCGUGCCAGCAGCCGCGGUAAUACGGAGGAUGCAAGCGUUAAUCGGAAUUACUGGGCGUAAAGCGCACGCAGGCGGUCUGUCAAGUCGGAUGUGAAAUCCCCGGGCUCAACCUGGGAACUGCAUUCGAAACUGGCAGGCUAGAGUCUUGUAGAGGGGGGUAGAAUUCCAGGUGUAGCGGUGAAAUGCGUAGAGAUCUGGAGGAAUACCGGUGGCGAAGGCGGCCCCCUGGACAAAGACUGACGCUCGGGUGCGAAAGCGUGGGGAGCAAACAGGAUUAGAUACCCUGGUAGUC
rnacentral:rRNA from 1 species